UCCCUGGUGGUCCAGUGGUUAGGAUACUGCACUUUCAUUGCUGAAGGCCUGGGUUCAAUCCCUGGUCCAGGUA
rfam:TPA: Bos taurus chromosome 19, whole genome shotgun sequence.